rnacentral:lncRNA from 1 species
UAUAAUUACACUUUUCUGGUGACAACAAGUUACAUAAGAUAACAUAAACACUCACUCCACAUUACUGAGUUUAAAUAUCGAUAUUUUAUAUGAGAAUCGAUACUAGAGCAGGAGACGUUGGGAUCGUGAAUAUCGAUACUUUAGUAUGGAUCCGCACAUCACUACUUGUACGGCACUCAGUGGAAUAGCUCUUUCCAGGCGACGCUUCAGUAUGAACAGACUCAGCGGCGCAGCUCUUUCCAGACGACACCACAGUAUGAACAGACUCAGCGGCGCAGCUAUGUCUUUCUGGGCAGUGUGUAUGGUCUUAAGUGAGUCACAGUCUUAUGCCAAAGCUCUGAACACAUGUUUUAAAUGCUUGGAGGAGGAUUUAUUUUGCCAAAAGAUGAACCGCAUUUUUAACAAGGAAAAUGAUGAAACCUUGUGGGAAGAAAGUGGAGCAAAGCAAGGCCUGCCUAAAUGUCCCCGCACCCCUCCUCCCAUGACUGGACAGUGUGUUCCCUGUUUAGAGGACCUCCAGGUCCUCAUUGUGUGUUCCAACGUGUCUGCAGAGAUCGAGCUGGACCUGGAGGCCUCUGAUGGGAAGAGUCUUUCCUACACUGCUGCCACGUGCCCUACACUGGAGACCGUUGGAGGAAGUUUGAGUCAAUCUGCCAGUCAUUCUGGACACCUGGAGCCAAACCUCUUGAUGAUCCUCAUGGCUGGCUGGAUCGUCAUACUAUGGGAAUCUUGUGCAAUUCCACAUGGCCACACCCUAGCACCACAGACCCAACACCCUCUCCCGUAUUUGGAGAACAGACAACUGUACCGAUUUAAGGUAACUCUUUCCUCAUGUGUUUGCCAAUCAUUGUUUGUAUUCUGUUUUGUUUUUACCUUUGUUUUUGAGUCUUGUUUUGUUCCUUUUGAGUUUCUUGUUAGUCUUCUGUUCUCUCUGUGCGUCUUGUCUCCCUUCGUUCGUGACACACUAAAGAAUGGCUUGGCAUGCCUAAUUAAACGACAUUCAUAA